rnacentral:sRNA from 2 species
CAUAAAGUGAUCUAGGGUUCCGAUAGACAACUCCUCAAAGUUGGCUAUGACUGAGACCGAGAGUUCACGGUUCGCAAGAACUACACGGAGGGAUAAAAGCCCGGGAGGU